rnacentral:rRNA from 1 species
ACGGAGGGUCCGAGCGUUAUCCGGAAUUAUUGGGUUUAAAGGGUCCGUAGGCGGGCUGUUAAGUCAGAGGUGAAAUGCUGCGGCUCAACCGUAUGCACUGCCUUUGAUACUGGCGGUCUUGAGUUAUAGUGAAGUGGCUAGAAUAAGUAGUGUAGCGGUGAAAUGCAUAGAUAUUACUUAGAAUACCGAUUGCGAAGGCAGGUCACUAACUAUACACUGACGCUGAUGGACGAAAGCGUGGGUAGCGAACAGG